GAGGAAUUUUGCGCAAUGGGGGAAACCCUGACGCAGCGACGCCGCGUGGAGGAUGAAGGCCUUCGGGUCGUAAACUCCUGUCAGAGGUGAAGAAUACCCGCAAGGGUUUGACGGUAACCUCAGAGGAAGCCCCGGCUAACUACGUGCCAGCAGCCGCGGUAAUACGUAGGGGGCAAACGUUACUCGGAAUUACUGGGCGUAAAGGGUGCGUAGGCGGCUGGGAAAGUCAAGGAUGAAAUCCCGUGGCCCAACUGCGGAACGGUCCUUGAGACUACUCGGCUUGAGGAUAACCGAAGAGAACGGAAUUCCCGGUGGAGCGGUGAAAUGCGUAGAUAUCGGGAGGAACACCUGAGGCGAAAGCGGUUCUCUAGACUACUCCUGACGCUGAGGCACGAAAGCUAGGGGAGCAAACGG
rnacentral:rRNA from 1 species